CAAAUAGAAUAGAGAGCUGUUACAUAACAUUGCUUGAUGGAAUUUUAUUUCAAUGGAAAGCUGAUUAAAAAGCCGCCAAAGGUAAAGCAAUAGGAAGCAUAUGGGGCUUCAUGAGUCUUCACCACAAGUUGAAGUUGAACCCAUUGUUAAAAAAAUUACAACGGGGUGGCAACUUCAAUAUGGACGAAGACAAUAUGCUUGUGUCGGCGUGAGUUGAAGUUAGCUCAGAUGUAGUGCAAGGAAAUGAGCAAAAAUACAAGACAUAUUGGUAAAAAAAAUUUGUGAGUAAUUCAUAAGCACAAGACCUUUGGAUUUAACAGUAAUCAGAACUCUCUUAUAAUGAAUCAAAGUCAACUAUUCAACUUGCGAUAAAUAAGUUUUGUGGUUACUUAGAGCAAGUUGAGUGAAGGCAACAAAGUGGUUUGACUGAGCAAUAGAAGGUAUGUUAUAAUUAUGGCUUUUCAUCAAUUUCUUUGGAUUAUGUUCUAUUUAUUUCAAAAUAUUUUAAUUAUGUUAUAUUUGUUAAUUUUUCAAAUUGGCAAGGCAAAACUCAUGUAUCAAGAAUUCCAAAACAACAAUAUAUAUUUCACUUUUUUUUGGUUUUAUGAAUGGCUCAUUCGGUAUCCAAAAUUUUAUUUUAUGUUUUUGAGGAUAAGGUAGUUCUGUAGAUAGGUCUAUGGUUGAAGAUGUUGAAGAUCCCUUCAAGAAGACAAGUACAACAGGUGAUGUCUGGACAUGAACAACUAGAGAGUCACCUAUCCCCUGGGCUGUCCGGACAUGUCAGUGGACAUAAUUAUUCUAUGUGAAUGAUAUCCGGACACGAACUGCUCCAGGGAGUUACCUGUCUCCUUAGCUUUUCGGACAUGCAUAUAUGGCUGCAUGCGAACAUGAACAUUCUAUAUGAAUGGUGUCUGGAAAUGAAGGAAAAUGGUAAGGUUAUUUUGGCAUUGAAGUCUGGACAUCAAGGAAAAUAGUCCGAACAGGAGGAGGACAAUAAGCAUCACUGAAGAGUGAUGUUCGGUCAAGAAGGACUCCUAUGCGGAUAUGGAAGGCGAAUAGGUCAAUAAAUCUUAAUCGUGUUCGUACAUGCAAAUAACCUGUUUGGACGCCUCCUCUUAGAAACACUGCUUUCUGUCUACAAAAGGAUAGUUUUGCUUCACUCUUCAAAGAUCUCUCAUACGUGAAAAUUCAGAGCUUCAUAGAGAGAGUUGAGAGACUUGUACCAAGUCCUUGUUGUGUUGAUACACAAGGGUCUUGGGGUUUGGGGCCAAGAGUCGUUUUCGUGUGUCAAAGGCUCAUGGAGUGGAGAUCAAGCCAUAAUGUUGCUGGUGCACUUAUUGCGCAUCAAUUGAAGUUUACCAGUGAAGAUUGGUAAGGAGUUCACUCUUAGAAAAAAUCGGUCAACAAUGGUGUUAAAGCAGAGACACGAGGAGUUUGUGGAGUUUGUUGUCAUACAGAUUGUACGAAUAAAUUACAAGGGGUUGUAAGUUUACUUUGCUUGUAUUUAGUUUUUCUAAUAAUGGAGUAAUAUCUUGGGUUUGACUA